rnacentral:rRNA from 1 species
AUUGAACGCUGGCGGCGUGCCUUACACAUGCAAGUCGAACGGCAGCACGGGAGCAAUCCUGGUGGCGAGUGGCGAACGGGUGAGUAAUAUAUCGGAACGUGCCCAGUCGUGGGGGAUAACGCAGCGAAAGUUGUGCUAAUACCGCAUACGAUCUCUGGAUGAAAGCGGGGGACUCGCAAGGGCCUCGCGCGAUUGGAGCGGCCGAUAUCAGAUUAGCUAGUUGGUGGGGUAAAGGCCUACCAAGGCGACGAUCUGUAGCCGGUCUGAGAGGACGACUAGCCACACUGGAACUGAGACACGGUCCAGACUCCUACGGGAGGCAGCAGUGGGGAAUUUUUGGACAAUGGGCGCAAGCCUGAUCCAGCAAUGCCGCGUGCAGGAUGAAGGCCUUCGGGUUGUAAACUGCUUUU